CUAAGCAAAAACAACAAAAACAACAACAGAGGAAAAAGAGAAAAAUGAUUCCAUUUGUGUGAGAUUCUAGGAAAAACAGAUUCAUCCAUGAAAUUCAUCAGGAAGCAGAUCAGUAGUUUGCUGGGGCCCAGAAGCUGCAGGCAGGGGUGGCUCUAAAGGUGCAAUAAGGGGCUCUGGGGGGACUUAGGGGAGGGGGAGGAAUGAAAGUAUUCCAUAUCUUGAUAGUUACAGUGGUUCUACAGUGACUAUAUUUGUAAAACUCAUCAAACAGUAUGCCAAAAUGGGCCAUUUAUUAUGUGUAAAUUCUAUUUCAAUGAAGUUGGUUAAAAAUUUAUAAAAUAAGAACAAAAAAGAAAAGAACAUUAAAAAAAAAAAGCUCAAAUUUCCUUUCUCCAUCAUCUCUUCCCUAGUCUGACAUAGCUUUCCUUCCACCAUUGUGUUAUGGACUAUGGGUUUUUGUACUUGUGACAAGCAUACCACUUACAGCUUUUAAUGAGUAUCUUGGUGUUAAGCUGGCUGUUUCUCCUUGGGGCUUGCAUAUUCCCUUGGGAGAGAAUCUGUAUCUCAUUUGUCUUUUUCUCCCCCCACUUAGCACCUACCUCAGAACUCAUAAAAGGACCUCACUGAGCACUUGUAAAAUCAAUAGCACUAUUUUCAUAUUUACAUCCUGCCUCGUUCCCAAAAAGGAUGAACAGGAAACAACAUUGAUUUCCAGGGGUUGAUGAAUGAAUGGAGUGUUCUUGGCACUGGAGCCCACAUCCUGGCUCCAUGUGUAAAAACUGGGGGCAAAAUGGGUUUUCGACCUCCCUUCUUCACACCUGUACUUGCUUAUUGAUUGAGUGAAAUGCUUGCGAUGGUUUCUCUGUUCUCCAGUAGGGAAAUGCUGUAGAGACGCUCUGCAUUUUCCUUCUUAAUGGUCCAUUAUUUCUCUGCAGAGAGGCCAGGAGUAGAAUCAGUGUUGGCAAACCACAAAGAAGUGGACACGACAGUGUAAUAGGAAGGCAGCUAUUAUGUCCCAUUAUUACCUCGAGUGAAAGAAAAUCGAAGGAGCAUAGUGGUCUAUUGCAUAACUGCCACUCUCGGGUUGUUGUGGGGGAAAGCUGUGUAAAUCAGCCCUCCUGUGCUGGUUCUUGAGAAGACUUUCUCCCCUUCCCACAGACCCUCUCCCUAUGCAAUUUUUCGUUUCUCAAUUGGCCGAUUCCCUGGAAUAUUAGCUUUUCAAAAUAUGACACAGAAGUUCACCAAUUCCUUCCAACUCAUAACACUUUAAAAUUGCAACUCCAAAUUAUUUCUGUUAAAAAUAGCUGAUUUUUAUGACUCCUAGGGGAUUUCUUAUUUUAAUCUGAAACCUGCAGAAAUGGUUCAGUUUUGUAGAAAUGAUGGGGGAAUGUCUGCUCUUAGCAGUUUUUGUGUUCAAGGGCAAAUCAACCUCUGUGCUUGCUAACUCUAAUUUUCCAAGUGUUAUGAGACUUUAAUUUGAUUCUUUAUCCAGUGUGCAUAAAACGUUCACUGGAAUUUGCAUAAUACAUUUAUUGUAUAAUCACUCUUCACGUUGGUUACCUGCUUCCUCAAAUGAACAUUGCUUUUUUAAGGCGAUAUAUUAAUGUAGGGCCAAUUUGAACUUUGUAACUAAACAGAAUUAUGUAUAUCUCUGAAGGACAAACAUAAAGGAGAGAGAGAAGGAGAGCAUGGACUUGUUCUGAAAUUGGCUAUUAUAUAAAAAUAGCCCCGAUCCUGCAAUUCCAAAUAUUAAUUUUGCAAACAGAAGCAGGGGAAAGAUUCCUGUCUUUAAAAACAUAGAGAUUUAUUAUGUGGAGAAGGAAUACACUUGUUCGGCCUAUCUCUUAAAAUGCAGUUUAGGCAAGUAGAUUCCUUCAGGAUGCUAGAUUUUAGCACAGUCUAAGAAGGUGAGGGAGUUGGAGAAAAGGGUGCCGUAGGCUUUAGGCCAGGAGCUUUGAAGGUGUUUUAAUUCAUUCAGUGCCCAGAGCCAAUAUAUAAUUAAGGUAAUAUUAUUAUUACCCUCAGUUUUGGUUUAGUGUGCUGUGUCUUUGGACACACUGCUAUCAAACAGCAGAGUGAAGAUUUGAACCCAGACUAUAUGAGGCCAGCAUCUUUGUCCUUCAACUACACCGGACAGUUUUCCUUUAAAUAAACUUUUCUAGGUGAACCAUGAGAGACUAUGGACUCUGAAAAACA